rnacentral:rRNA from 1 species
UAAUAAACCGGACGGAAGGUGGGGAGUGACGUCAAAUACCAUCAUGCCCCUUAUGACCUGGGCUACACACGUGCUACAAUGGUUGGUACAACGAGUUGCGAGUCGGUGACGGCGAGCUAAUCUCUUAAAGCCAAUCUCAGUUCGGAUUGUAGGCUGCAACUCGCCUACAUGAAGUCGGAAUCGCUAGUAAUCGCGGAUCAGCACGCCGCGGUGAAUACGUUCCGGGCCUU